GUUUAUUUUUCAAGAGGUACACGACCUUUAUUGUUACAUUCCGCAAUUAUAUUAAUUAAUUUCUUAAUAGUUUCGGAAUUUAAUGUUUGCCUCAUUCUCGUUAGUUAUUCAUUAAUAUAUUAUCAUACUUUCAAUGGAGUCAACAACAUAUAUAUAUAUUUUUUAUUUAUUUUCAUAUGUAUAUAUGUAUAUCAUUUAUACAUAUAUGCGUAUCGGGUGUAUGUUCAUUCUUACAAGUGAAUGCACUGUACCAUAGGAUAGCUUUAUUACACAAUUCACAGAGUCGUAUUUGUAAUAAGGGGAUUGCCGAAGUACACCAUACACAUGGUCGUGAAAUUAAUUUGUUUCUGUCUCGAAUCAUUUCGGAGAGAAAGACGUUCGCUUAUCGGACAAUUACGUUCCUGAUUCGUUUGCUGUUCAUCCGACCGUUAUGGAAACGACGAGGGGCCGCUCGCCGAUGCGUGUACUUUUUCUCGCGUCUCAGUCAAGGCAAGAGGACAGAAAAACACGGGACUAUAUUUUUCCUUUUUUUUGUUUUUGUUUAUUUUACUCGCGAACGUCGCACGCGCGAAGAAAUAUAACAGGAGGAUCGCACGGUGAAUCAAUAGAAUACAUACAAUAGGUCGCCAACGAAAGACUCAACAUCGCAAUAGAAUUCACAUACUCGGCGCGGCUUAAGAAAUACACGAUUAUCGCCUCGGGGAUUCCGUUCAGCCACAUAUAUAUGUAUAUAUAUAUUUAUAUGUAUAACACUGUUGGUGUACGCAUACGCGUGUAUCUCUGUCUUCCAUCAACUCUGACAAACUUAGGCCCGAAUCUUUGCGACAUAUCCUUAAUGUACAUAUAUACGUAUAUUUAUAUAUUUAUAUUCAAUAUAACAUGUAUACAUCCACCUAACGACUAGUGCGAAUGAAACACGCGCACGCGGUGAACCAGCGCGUUGAGUUCAGAAUUAGUCUUUUCCUUCGUCUUCUCGAAGAAUCAGGCCUUUUUUUUUUUUUUCGUGAAUUUCUAUGCGGCGGACAAGACAAGUGGCGCCUCUUUCUUUUUUAAGUACGCCGAGUUCGCCGUUUCCCGGGGAGAAUUGACGAAUGAUCUGCACUCAACAUAGCGGCGUACGCGAAACGAACGUCUCGACGGGAAAUUCAACGAUUUCGCUUGUAAAUUUAGCCGUUGUUACUCGGCCAUUUUGUAAAGUACAGGGACAGUUUACACGGUACGGUCAAUGCAAGCAAAAAAAAAAGAAAAAAAUAUCGUACUAUGCAGUUACCGUGACCACUAAUGCACGAUUGAAUUUCCACCACUCGCGGCGAGAUCUGACCCAGCAGAGAAGGAAAGAGAAUCGAUCAAACGAAACGAAGAAUACGCUACGCUGCGAAAGUAAAAUUUUGAUUCUCGACCAUUAUAGGCUACAUAACCUAACAUUUGUUUCGGUACUUAUUCUCGUAACCUUGUUAAAAUUCACCAAUUCUGUUCAAAUGAAUUUUUCUAGUAUCAUAAUGACAAAUCCUGUCACCCAUAUAUAGGUGGCGCGGCAGUCAAAAUGUUUAAGAAGCCGAACCAAGGUUAAGUUUUCCUCCUCUUGCAGAGAUGGGCAAACGUCUAGUCUAGAUACAAAUUUCGAAUAGCGAAUAGAAUAUAAACAACCUUUGAAUUUGAAUCGUGGAACAGAAUUUUGUACUCAGGGAAUAAGUAUUCACGAAGUGAAUUAAUUAUCAUAGGUUGCUUCGAUUUGAAAGAAAGUUUUGCCAAUCUCAUCCUCGCAAGACUAAACAAACGCGUAAUGUAAUCUUCCCCGUAUUCGUUUUACGUUUAACGUAUCUUAUGCGUACUUUGUACAAAUUUGACGCGCUCGGUGUAAGCUGUUCGUUGCGCGCUAUUUUGGUUCGUGCUAUUGGAAACGAGUACGUUGUAAAACCAAGUCGCUGCGUCCCGACUUGAAUCAAAGCAAUUUUGAUGAUUGUUUUGCACGCGGAACGCGACGGUUUAUCGUCUCCGCGGUUUUCUCUUUAUCCACAAAUUGUUGUUUUGCCCCAGUUCCAUCGAGAGCAAGGGAAUUAUUGGACGGCAUGUCGCACGGAGAAAAUCAUUGUCGAGGAAUUGUUGUUGCGACCUACAACGACUAUAUGCGACUCUUGCUCCAUCGAUUCGCCGACUUCUACGUUUUUUUUAUCGCGGACACUGACGUGGGAAGGACCUAAUCCUGUCGCCUGUUUCAACGCUAGAUUUACGGAACCCGUCGAUUCAAUUGGAGUUAAGUUACAGAACUCAUAAACAUCAUUCGUUAAUAAUAUGGUAACGAUAUAUCCUAAAUAAUAACGAUGUGCAAUCAAUGUCCGUAAAUCUAGAGUUUCAACUUUGAAUAGCUGUAGGGUUUAUCCGACAGUUACUCAAACUUGGUUAACGUGUUUUUACAGGAUGAUGAAAGGCUGUUGCAACGCGUGAAAUAUUGGACCUAGACGCUUGAUAAUUGCAAAGACAUAACUAUAUGUUAUAUACUGAAUGUCGGGUUGUUUUAUCGAAGGUGUAAUUAUGUUGUUCUUCGUUCGUUAACGAACCAUUUUGUUUCAGCUGUAGCUGGUGUUCCAGCUGGUAGUUUAUUAUAUACAACGUUUAACAUACGGUAUGUAACAUCAAGUACUUAUAGCUCUAAAAUUACCGAGUAUCUACGUCUAAUGUUUUAUACGUUUCAACAGGUUCAGUCCUUCCUCUGUGAGAUCGCAGUGAAUAUACUCAACAUCAAGCGCGAUACGUGUAACAAAUACCACAGCUAGUUUAACAAAAGAACAAUCAUAUCCCUGGCGACGCGAACAUCAACAAUACGUCUCGCAAUGAUAUAAAUAAUCUCUCGAUCGAUCGUUACGGACCUCUCUGUCCGCGUAUCGGGACAGAUCGCGCAAGAUAAUACCAAAGAUCGGGCAAAAUUUUCUUCGAACAAUAGACGACGAAUAGCGAUACAGUAUAGCGAUUUAUUUGCGUCGUUUAUUUAAUCGAACAGUUAUAUAGAUAAGUCUUUAUUCGUUCAACGUAAAACUUAAAAUUCUAAUUUUGAUAAAACGAACUAACGGGUAAAAAGUUUGUUCAUCAUUAAUUCCUUACACGACAUUUUUAUCUACGAAUUCUGCCCAUCCCUGGAUAGAUCGUCGCGGAGCGGAUCGUGAAUACGCUCGUCGAAAUCGAGUUGCUUUUGGCAAUGCGAAAAAUCCACGAUAAAGCAUAUCCGUUAUCUUUUGUGUCUGUGUAUUUUUUUGUUUCUCACUUCUAGCGGAAAAGCGUGUCCGACAGUUGAGUUUGUAAAAAAUAAAGUCGACGAUACGGGUCGAUCCGUUCGAAACGGUGUCCUUCGGCACACGGCAGUGUAAUAAUAUCGGAAUGUUCUCGAUCCUUCGAACCCGAUGAAGAGCGUUUCAAUUUUGUUUUUCUAUUUUUUUUUUUUACUGUUCGAGUCGUAUUCCGUAGCACAGUGCAUUUCGAGUUAACAGCGCCAACCGCGUUCGAUGUCGCGGCUGGCACGAUUUUCAUUUUCAAUAUUUUUUUUUUGUUGUUCUUUUGUUAAAUAUCUUAACGAUCGAUAUUAUUACAAACGAGAAAUGUUGAAAUUUUUUUCGAUUUCGAUUUUUUUUUU